UUUUUUUUUUUUAAUCCCAACAGAAUGUUAAGUCUGAAAAACCAGAGUUUUAACCAGCUGGACAAUGAACUGCUUCGAGUUACUCGGAAAGAACAGAAUGCAACGAUUACAGAAACAUAGAGCCCGAUCCACCGUCUUCUGAAAUCUGUGAGAACACUUCGGCUGAAAUCGUUCACAAAGAGCACUGGAGAGGCCACAACUCUGAUCCUGAGCCUGUGUCUGCUAGUCGCAGAGGUCUGCAGCGUGGUCACAGCAACUCCAGUUUUAGGUAAGCUUGAAAUCUUUAUGGGUGAACAAAAGUAUAUGUUUGAAGGCUGAGAAUGGUUGUUCAUG